UCUUGGUUCCCCAAAACACUGUCCGGGGCACACGAAGGUGACUGACUUUAACAUGAAAUAACUAGUGCAGCUUCCUCAAGGUACGAACUUAAUGGCUAGUGUGCAUGCAGUAUGGGGAUGUUUCAUGGAAACUUGGCUGUAACUGGGAAGCUCUCUCUGGUAGGGCAUGCUAUUUCUCAUUUUACGUUUCUUUUUUGCAUGUGCAAAUAGAUUUUCAAACAGUUUUGCUCCAUUGCGCUAAGGCAUUAGCGUUACUACGUUCAGCUCGAACGCAAGGUCGUUGGACACCAGCGAAGGUCAAGACCGGCGUUGCUCCCUCAACCACCAGACGUCCCGCCACCGAAACGCGUGUGCCGCGAUGUGGGAGCAGCCGUGGGUGCGGGAGUGAGCGGCGUGGUGGCAGCUCUGGACCUGCAAGGCGUUCGCCCCGGGACGAAGGUCAUGGCCUAAAGCUGGUGAGUUUCCAGAACAGGCUCUGGGACUGUCCACGGCGAAGGAUUGACUGGUGUCUUCCUUGAUGGAAAGCAAAACAGUGAUGGAAUGAAAUGCACUUCUGGCAACGGUGCUCAAGAUAACGUAAAAUUGCAAAUAUUGCCAAGAAAGAACAUGUCCUGUAAUGAUGGGCAGGCAAAGUCACAGAGAUAUAAGCGAUAACCUCAGUUUGGGCUCAGAUAUAUGGAUGAACCAGACUGAACGGAAGAGAUGAUACUC